CAAAAAUCACUAUAUGUGUGCCUUUCACAUUUGAAGAGUUCCCUCGAUUCCUCAUAGAUUCUACCAUCAGAUCUCGGGCUUGAACAAAAAUUUGUCUCGAAAACCUAAUUUGCCUAACAAACAUAAGGAAGACGAUAAAUCGCCAAGCGGGAACUAUGCGUCGUUGAAGAGUUCCAUUCUGAUCAGCAUCAGCAGUUCCACUUCACCAAAUGUCACUUUUUAAAUGUAAAUGCUUGAUUUGCAGAUGAAAAUAUAAAAAUCUCUAUAUGUAUGCCUUUCACAUUUGAAGAGUGCCCUCGAUUCCUCAUGGAUACCAUCAUCAGAACUAAGUUUUGACAAAAACGGGACCAAUCUGUAUAUAAAUUCAAUCAAAUAAAUAAUUUUCGAAAUCGGUCCAGAAAUGACGGAGUUAUGAAGUAACAAAAAUUAAAAAAAAAGAAAAAAAUAUAUACUUACACCCGAAUUGAUAAGCUCCUCCUUUAGAAAUCUUGAAGUCGGUUAAAAAGAGGUGUUGCCUUACAUCAAAUGAGGUAGUUCUGUUGUUUUUUUAACGGUAGUGUUGAAAUAAUAAUAAAUUCAAGUUUUCCACCUCGAAAGACCUUCGGGUCAUUGUACAGUCAGCGUCAAAUACUUUGUAUCAGUCAAAGUGGCCAAAUAGUUCGGUACACCAUACUAAAUAUAUAGAAAUAGAAAUAGAAAUAGAAUUUGUUUUAUUCAUAAACACACAAACAGUAAUAGACAGACAUAAAAGAGAACAUAGUGAGAGUAAAGUGUCACGAAAUGGCCUCAUCUCAGCAUGUUGCUGGCGACUUCCAGCUUGCUGCGGCUUGUUGUAGCUUGUAGCUUGGCGGUAGUGGUGUACCGAACUAUUUGGCCACUUUGGUUGCUACAAAGUAUUUGACGCUGACUGUACAUAUAAUAUACGGGACAAUGAGGGAAAUUGUUAUAACUCGUAUCACUUGUAUAUCUUUGACGGACCAGGCUGGUCCUCUGAAUCCACAGCACUCCUCUUGUGUGCAGCUUGCUUUAGUAGCAUUUCUUCCAUCAACCUGAUCAGGCAGGUCAAAAUCGGCAUCUGAUGGUUGUUCAUGAAUGAAUGGUUUAGCAAUGUCGGCACACAUUAUAAGUCUGUAUCUUUAGGUAUUUAAAAAAAGGUAAACAAAAUCUACCCUCAAAUGGCUCCUUAAGGCAGUUGAGUAGAUGAAAACAUUACAUGAUCAAAUAAUGUAGGUUUAAAGUCAGGUCGUUCAGUGACAGAUCCAGGCGGUUUUGUAUUUGGUUGGUUAACCAAUAAAUAUUAAAACUACCCGAACAUGUACAAAUUGUUUGUUUACCUUUUUUUAAAUACCUAAAGAUACAGACUUAUAGUGUCAAGUAGCGGAACUCUCAGUACUGCUGCUCGACAAUAGAUGUCGCGGCAAACAAAAAGUCUGAUGCUCAACGAUUUUCCGCUAAUAUUAUAACCAGAGUAAGCGUAGGAGUUGAAAAUAGAUUUCCGGUUACUCUGGUUAUAAUAUUAGCGGAAAAUCGUUGAGCAUUACACUUUUUGCUUGCCGCGAUAUCUAUUGUCGAGUAGCAGUACUGAGAGUUCUGCUAUUUGACGCUAGAUGUAGACUACGAAAAUAAUAGUAUUUUGGUAACAAAACGGUUGUAUGGAGUGAGCACUCUUGGUCUUCUUAAUUCUCUUUGAUAAAACUUAGUAUUUAUUCUAUUUAAUAGGCAUCUCCUAAUCACCUAUUGAAAUGCGUGUUUUUCACUUGAACGAAUUCAAUCUUCCACAUACAUGACCACAAAGACAGAACAACAUAAUGCUUAAAGAAUUGUACGGCAUUUAAGAUCUUUUAUCACUAAAGCGUUUUCACAUCUGAGGUGUUCGAAAAGGUUGUAUUUAUAUUACAGGGCCGUUAUGCAAUUUAUAGAGGCAUCAGUUUGAUUCUUAUUAAUAUGAUGUUAAAGUUCAAUUUCGAUGAAUAUUCGUGAAAUGAGAUCAAUAUAACACAUGUGGCGUUUUGGUAGUGGAUUUGUGUGUGACCAAUGUGUAGCGAUAAGCUGCGAUUAGUCGAGUAUUUCCAAUCACGAUUAUUUUCAUAGAAAUAUUGAUCUCAUAUUUGGUAGAUGCGUCAACCAU